UGGCUCUGGCAUCGAUGAAGAACGCAGCGAAAUGCGAUAAGUAAUGUGAAUUGCAGAAUUCAGUGAAUCAUCGAAUCUUUGAACGCACAUUGCGCCCCGUGGUAUUCCGCGGGGCAUGCCUGUUCGAGCGUCAGUACAACACUCAAGCUCUGCUUGGUCUUGAGCUUCGCUAGCAAUAGUGAGCUUUAAAAUCAGUGGCAGCGCCCUCUGGCUCUACGCGUAGUAAUAUACCCCGCUAUAGAGUUUGGUGGAUGCGUGCCAGCAACCCCAACUUUCUAAGUUUGACCUCGGAUCAGGUAGGGAUACCCGCUGA
rnacentral:misc_RNA from 1 species